rnacentral:rRNA from 1 species
AUUGAACGCUGGCGGCAGGCCUAACACAUGCAAGUCGAGCGGUAACACAGAGGAGCUUGCUCCUUGGGUGACGAGCGGCGGACGGGUGAGUAAUGCCUGGGGAUCUGCCCGAUAGAGGGGGAUAACUACGGGAAACUGUAGCUACUACCGCAUAAUGUCUACGGACCAAAGUGGGGGCUCUUCGGACCUCAUGCUAUCGGAUGAACCCAGGUGGGAUUAGCUAGUUGGUGAGGUAAUGGCUCACCAAGGCGACGAUCUCUAACUGGUUUGACAGAAUGCCCAGUCACACUGGAACUGAGACACGGUACAGACUCCUACGGGAGGCAGCAGUGGGGAAUAUUGCACAAUGGGCGCAAACCUGAUGCAGCCAUGCCGCGUGUGUGAGGAAGGCCUUCGGGUUGUAAAGCACUUUCAGCGGGGAGGAAGGGCUACUAGUUAAUACCUAGUGGCAUUGACGUUACUCGCAGAAGAAGCACCGGCUAACUCCGUGCCAGCAGCCGCCGAAACAC